GACGAACGCUGGCGGCGUGCUUAACACAUGCAAGUCGAACGGUGAAGCACCUUCCUUUUGGUGGGUGUGGAUGAGUGGCGAACGGGUGAGUAACACGUGAGUAACCUGCCCCCUUCUUCUGGAUAACCGCAUGAAAGUGUGGCUAAUACGGGAUAUUCUGUGCCUGCUGCAUGGUGGGUGUGGGAAAGAUGCGCUUUUGGGUGUUUUUGGUGGGGGAUGGGCUCGCGGCCUAUCAGCUUGUUGGUGGGGUGAUGGCCUACCAAGGUGGUGACGGGUAGCCGGCCGGAGAGGGUGGACGGUCACACUGGGACUGAGACACGGCCCAGACUCCUACGGGAGGCAGCAGUGGGGAAUAUUGCACAAUGGGCGCAAGCCUGAUGCAGCGACGCCGCGUGAGGGAUGGAGGCCUUCGGGUUGUAAACCUCUUUCGCCAGUGAAGCAGGCCUGUCCCUUGUGGGUGGGUUGACGGUAGCUGGAUAAGAAGCGCCGGCUAACUACGU
rnacentral:rRNA from 1 species